rnacentral:rRNA from 1 species
GACAGAGGGUGCAAACGUUGCUCGGAAUCACUGGGCGUAAAGGGCGUGUAGGCGGGAAUGUAAGUCGGGCGUGAAAUCCCUAGGCUCAACCUAGGAACUGCACUCGAAACUGCGUGACUAGAGGUAGGUAGGGGAGAUCGGAAUUCCAGGUGUAGCGGUGAAAUGCGUAGAUAUCUGGAGGAAUACCGGUGGCGAAGGCGGCAUCCUGGACCGGCAUUGACGCUGAGGAGCGAAAGCCAGGGGAGCAAACGGGG